rnacentral:rRNA from 1 species
CCUACGGGAGGCAGCAGUAGGGAAUAUUCGUCAAUGGGGGAAACCCUGAACCAGCAACGCCGCGUGGAGGAAGAAGGUUUUAGGGUUGUAAAGCCCUUUUGUGAGAGAAGAUAAUGACUGUAUGUGACGAAUAAGCAACGGCUAAAUUCGUGCCAGCAGCCCCGGUAAUACGGUGGGUGCAAGCGUUAGUCGGAAUUAAUGGGCGUAAAGGGUGCGGAGGCGGGAUGGUAAGGCAGAUGUGAAAUCCUGUAGCUUAACCAGAGAACUGCAUUUGAAACUAUGAGUCUAGAGUGUGGGAGAGGUAGGUGGAAUUCUUGGUGUAGCGGUAAAAUGCGUAGAUAUCAAGAGGAAUACUCAUUGCGAAGGCGACUUACUGGAACAUAACUGACGCUGAUGCACGAAAGCGUGGGGAGCAAACAGGAUUAGAUACCCGAGUAGUC